CUGACCAGACGGCAUUCCGUCGAACUCUCGACUACAUAUUCAAUAAUCCAGCUUCAAGGUUCUUCCGCUAGGCUGCGCAACCAGAUGGUUUUUGAUAAAUUUUAGGUGUGAUUUGAAAAUGUAAAUCCUAGUAACAAUGUGUAAAGGCCUGCAAUUUAUUGCUAGUAUAUUUAUUUCUACUAAGAUCUAAUCACAUGUUCUGGCCAGUUGUCAGUUUCUUUAACUUGGGAUAGACCGAAAUUUUUAUGGGAGGGUAAGGAGAGCUCUACGAAUAUUACUGUCUGGUCACGACAUGAAUUACAUCGUUUACACUCGUUCUUCCAGAUACGUGUGCCACAUACCUGUAUACCACAGGCCGCGGUAGGCGCAGAGAUGAGAUCCCACGGGAGAUCCUGGAGAAAUUGAGAAGACACAGCAGUGUUGAAAAAGAACACUUCUUCCCUGACAUUUUGCUGCUGAUUAUGAAGAUGCGCUACACUGAAGCGAAGACGUGUGGGUUCAUAUCGUGGAGCACUUGGCAGUGGUUCCAUCGCAGGCUAAGCAUGCACCUUGUACGAACUGAGUGUGAACGAAUUCCGGACAAGCCUGUUAUCAAUGGUGGCUCGUGGAAAAGUUGGCUACUGGAUGUACAGCAGCUGCGCAUGGCUUCUGUUUCCUAUGGAAAGGAAACUUCACCGAGUCACCUGGUUGCUGUAUUCAAGUAGCUCGCAUGUACAGGAUGUUCAAUAUUAAGCCUUUUGUUUUUCUUUAAAAAAGUCAGUGCUGUAAG